rnacentral:rRNA from 1 species
UUAAUUGAAGAGUUUGAUCAUGGCUCAGAUUGAACGCUGGCGGCAGGCCUAACACAUGCAAGUCGAACGGUAACAGGGAGCAGCUUGCUGCUUCGCUGACGAGUGGCGGACGGGUGAGUAAUGUCUGGGAAACUGCCUGAUGGAGGGGGAUAACUACUGGAA